CCCCUCUUAAGCCACGCCCCCUCACUUACAUACACGAGCGUCGCGUCUGAUUGGUUCAUCAGAUUGGUACCUCGUGGCAGACAUUGGUCAAAGUUUUUACAGACUUACAAACUGAUACAGAUGAUGGAUUUUCUUUGUUCCUUUUUCAGAGAACCUGAGUUAUUAAUUUCUGUCAGGACCUAAAGACAAUUUACACCAGAAUCUUAAAAAGUGGAUCUGGAGGAAAUGACCAACUCUGAGUUUAAAUAACGUCUUAAUGCAACACGUUAAAUAAACCUUACAGGUGGAGUCAGUAGCAUCACGUUCUAUAAUUUAAUCUUUGAUCACAUCAAGUCAAAUUUCCCUUCAGGACUUUUUCUUCUUCCUGUCCGACCUGACGGACGAGUCGGAGACGACACCGAUCGACUUGAUCUGAAACUUUCAGACGUCACAGCUUUAGACUGGAGUUAAAGAAACACCUGAAUGAAUCAGAAUAACUUUAUAUUUACUGACAGAGACAAACUCCUCCUCUCAGGAGAGAGACUCCUCCAUGAUGACAUUUACAAGAUCAAUAAAACACAACAGCAGAUAGAAAGAGGGAUUCAGAUCAAGUGUAGAUACUUUAUUGAUCCCGAGGGAAAUUCAAAGCAUCCAGUAGCAGGUUACAAAGACGUACAUGACAUGAAACAUUUGUUACAAAUUAACCACAAAACCGACCCCCCCCCCCCCCCCCCCUCCCAUACAUAUAUAUUAACCUGAAAAAAAGAUUUAAAGAAUACCCCUAGAUGAAUCAAACUUAAACUAUGCAAUUAAAAAGAUUUAAAAAG